GGCAGGGGCAACCGGUAAGGCCCGCAAGGGUCUUGACUCGAGUUCGCUCUUGUCAUCCUUGGGGAGAACCAUGCUGGCAUUAGCUUGUUGGUAUGGGAAUCCUCAUCGUUUACUGUGAAAAAAUUAGAGUGUUCAAAGCAGGCUUAGGCCCUGAAUACAUUAGCAUGGAAUAAUGAGAUAGGACCUUGGUGGUCUAUUUUGUUGGUUUGCACGCCGAGGUA
rnacentral:rRNA from 1 species